UGAAACUUUACAACCUUUCUUGCCACACU
rnacentral:sRNA from 1 species